rnacentral:misc_RNA from 1 species
UACCUAUUGCGAUGGAAAGUUGUACCUUUCGUUGUCCCUUCCAUGACAACAUCUCUUUGGAUGCUUGGUUGGACUAGAUAGCAGGGCUUGCGUUCCACGAAAUUGUUCGGAUGGACCGCGAGCGCUUGCUUGUUUUCUCGGAUGCGGAACUUUCUUCAUGGGUAAGGGGUCAUUGGCCCUUGUUCCCAAAUCUCUAAGCGUUUAUCGCUUUACUGGAAUGACGCUCUUGCCUCGUCUUUGACCAUGUGGAGUUCUCGGGCUUCAUGAUGGAUCAUGCUUG